UACGGAGGAUCCGAGCGUUAUCCGGAUUUAUUGGGUUUAAAGGGUGCGCAGGUUGUUUGAUAAGUCAGUGGUGAAAGUCUGUCGCUUAACGGUAGGAUUGCCAUUGAUACUGUUAGACUUGAAUAUGGAUGAGGUAGGCGGAAUGUGUAGUGUAGCGGUGAAAUGCAUAGAUAUUACACAGAACACCGAUUGCGAAGGCAGCUUACUAAUCCAUCAUUGACGCUGAGGCACGAAAGCGUGGGGAUCAAACAGGAUUA
rnacentral:rRNA from 1 species